AAUGAACGCUGGCGGCGUGCCUAACACAUGCAAGUCGCACGAGAAAGUCCCAGCUUGCUGGGGCUAGUAAAGUGGCGCACGGGUGAGUAACGCGUGGGUAAUCUACCUCCGAAUUGGGGAUAACAUUGCGAAAGCGGUGCUAAUACCGAAUGACAUCCCCGGGACUCCGGUCUUGGUGAUCAAAGGUGGCCUCUACAUGUAAGCUAUCGUUUGGAGAUGAGCCCGCGUACCAUUAGCUAGUUGGUAGGGUAAUGGCCUACCAAGGCUGCGAUGGUUAGCUGGUCUGAGAGGAUGAUCAGCCACACUGGAACUGACACACGGUCCAGACUCCUACGGGAGGCAGCAGUGAGGAAUUUUGCGCAAUGGGGGAAACCCUGACGCAGCAACGCCGCGUGAGUGAUGAAGGCCUUCGGGUCGUAAAGCUCUGUCAAGUGGGAAGAACCUGCUUCGCGCUAAUACCGCGGAGCACUGACGGUACCACUGAAGGAAGCACCGGCUAACUCCGUGCCAGCAGCCGCAGUAACAC
rnacentral:rRNA from 1 species